CCUACGGGUGGCAGCAGUGGGGGAUAUUGCACAAUGGGGGAAACCCUGAUGCAGCGACGCCGCGUGUAGGAAGACGGUCCUCUGGAUUGUAAACUACUGUCCUCAGGGAAGAAGAUGACGGUACCUGGGGAGGAAGCUCCGGCUAACUACGUGCCAGCAGGCGCGGUAAUACGUAGGGAGCGAGCGUUGUCCGGAAUUACUGGGUUUAAAGGGAGCGUAGACGGGCAUGCAGUGCAGUGGUGAAAGCUCGCGGCUCAACCCCGGGAUUGCACUUGAAACUGGAUGUCUGGAGUGCGGGAGGGGCAGGCGGAAUUCCUGGUGUAGCGGUGAAAUGCGUAGAUAUCAGGAGGAACACCGUCGGCGAAGGCGGCCUGCUGGACUGCGACUGACGUUGAGGCUCGAAAGCGUGGGGAGCGAACAGGAUUAGAUACCCCAGUAGUC
rnacentral:rRNA from 1 species